AGGGGUUCAAGUCCCAGCCUGGCCACUCAAUUCACAGCGUGGGCUCUCAAUGAUCUCAGACAGAAAGAACCUGCCAGGUCUCGCUCAGUAGACCUGCAGAUGCUUCUGGACUCCCAGGUGGGCUCUUCCAGCCCAGAAGCUCCUCUGCUUGGGGAACAUGGGGAGCCCUUGGCAGUCACUAAAGUGCUUCCGAUUGUUGGCCAAGCUGCCAUCUUCCACGACCAGCCAGCCAGCCAGCUGCAUCAGCCUCCUCCUGGGACCCCUGCUCCAGCCCUCGCCGGCCCCACCUCCUCUUUUCCCCUGUGGCAGCCAGAGCAAUGGGGAAUCCUAUUAAAACCCAAGACACAUCAAGCACUCCUCUGCUCAAAGCUCUCCAACAUCUCCCAAUGUUAUGGGAGAAAUAGCUGAGGCCCUGCAUUCCCUGUCCCCUGACACCCCCAGUUUGCUCUCAUCUUCCAUCACUCCUUUCACUCAACCAGUCUCCAGCCACACUGGCCUCCUUGCCUUUCACCCUUCCCCCUAUGCCAGGCACGUUCCUGCCCCAGGGCCUUUGCACUGGCUAUUCCUUUUACCUACAGUGCUCUUUCCCCAGAUUCACACAGAUGCUGCUCCACCUCCUUCAGGUCUUUGCCCAAAUGUCAGCUUCUCUGAGAGGCCCUCCCUGACCAUCCUCAUGAAAUUGCUCUGCUCCAACCACUCAUCACGCCCUCACUGACUGUACAGCCUGAUGUGAUAUUGUACACUGACUUGUUUUCGGUGUUUUGUCCAUCUCCCCAUGAGCUAGGAGCCUUCCUCUCUCUCCACAGGGGCUUUGUUUCCUGCUGGGAGCCCAGCCUGGCACACGGUCCGGGCAUACGAUCACUUCGUGCGGUAUGUUUGCAAAGUCGGCCACAGCAAUUCCAGCUUUCCCAGUACACGUGACUCUUUGCAGCAUGACUUUGGUGUCUAUUGUCUAUGGAGUCUAUUUCUACUCUCCUUGAAUCUGAGCUGGCCAUGGGACAGGCUUUGCUCAAUAAAAUGCAAUGAGAGUGAUGCUCUAGCACUUCUGAGCCUAGGCCUCAAGAGGCCUUGCUGCUUUUGUUCUUUGCCUUUUGGAGGCCAUCAUGUGAGGAAGCCUGAGCUAGCUGCUGAAGAAGCCACGCGAAAGAGAACCAAGGCACUCAAGCCCACGGGCCUGGGCAGCCGGCAGUCACGUAAAUGAGGCCAUACAGGGCCAGCCAGCUCCCCAACGUGCUCACUGACUGCAGAUGUGGGAGUAAGACCAUGCACAGCAGAAGAGAACUGCCCUAGCUGAGACAUGUCCAUACUGCCAAUCUACACCAGCAGAAGCAAAUAAAUAAUUGUUGGUUUAAGCCACUCUGUGUUUGGGGUGCUUUGUUAAGCAGCAGUAGAAAGCUGAUACAUUUAGGUUUGGUGCA